GACAAAUGCCCUGCUUCCAGGAAAAGCCUCUAAGCAUCAGGUAACAUCAAAUCGUACCCCAAACCGACACAGGUGGUCAGGUAGAGAAUACCAAGGCGCUUGAGAGAACUCGGGUGAAGGAACUAGGCAAAAUGGUGCCGUAACUUCGGGAGAAGGCACGCUGAUAUGUAGGUGAAGCGACUUGCUCGUGGAGCUGAAAUCAGUCGAAGAUACCAGCUGGCUGCAACUGUUUAUUAAAAACACAGCACUGUGCAAACACGAAAGUGGACGUAUACGGUGUGACGCCUGCCCGGUGCCGGAAGGUUAAUUGAUGGGGUUAGCGGCAACGCGAAGCUCUUGAUCGAAGCCCCGGUAAACGGCGGCCGUAACUAUAACGGUCCUAAGGUAGCGAAAUUCCUUGUCGGGUAAGUUCCGACCUGCACGAAUGGCGUAAUGAUGGCCAGGCUGUCUCCACCCGAGACUCAGUGAAAUUGAACUCGCUGUGAAGAUGCAGUGUACCCGCGGCAAGACGGAAAGACCCCGUGAACCUUUACUAUAGCUUGACACUGAACAUUGAGCCUUGAUGUGUAGGAUAGGUGGGAGGCUUUGAAGUGUGGACGCCAGUCUGCAUGGAGCCGACCUUGAAAUACCACCCUUUAAUGUUUGAUGUUCUAACGUUGGCCCGUAAUCCGGGUUGCGGACAGUGUCUGGUGGGUAGUUUGACUGGGGCGGUCUCCUCCUAAAGAGUAACGGAGGAGCACGAAGGUUGGCUAAUCCUGGUCGGACAUCAGGAGGUUAGUGCAAUGGCAUAAGCCAGCUUGACUGCGAGCGUGACGGCGCGAGCAGGUGCGAAAGCAGGUCAUAGUGAUCCGGUGGUUCUGAAUGGAAGGGCCAUCGCUCAACGGAUAAAAGGUACUCCGGGGAUAACAGGCUGAUACCGCCCAAGAGUUCAUAUCGACGGCGGUGUUUGGCACCUCGAUGUCGGCUCAUCACAUCCUGGGGCUGAAGUAGGUCCCAAGGGUAUGGCUGUUCGCCAUUUAAAGUGGUACGCGAGCUGGGUUUAGAACGUCGUGAGACAGUUCGGUCCCUAUCUGCCGUGGGCGCUGGAGAACUGAGGGGGGCUGCUCCUAGUACGAGAGGACCGGAGUGGACGCAUCACUGGUGUUCGGGUUGUCAUGCCAAUGGCACUGCCCGGUAGCUAAAUGCGGAAGAGAUAAGUGCUGAAAGCAUCUAAGCACGAAACUUGCCCCGAGAUGAGUUCUCCCUGACUCCUUGAGGGUCCUGAAGGAACGUUGAAGACGACGACGUUGAUAGGCCGGGUGUGUAAGCGCAGCGAUGCGUUGAGCUAACCGGUACUAAUGAACCGUGAGGCUUAACCUUACAACGCCGAAG
rnacentral:rRNA from 1 species